AAGGUAUUGAAGCUUUCAAUUCCGUAGUGCAUUGCAGUGUGCUUAAUUAUCAACCGCAAGCGCUGCGGAUUUGGCAACUUUGAUGGCCUCCAUCAU
rnacentral:pre_miRNA from 13 species